GACGAACCGUGCGAACGUUGUUCGGAAUCACUGGGCUUAAAGGGCGCGUAGGCGGCCGAGCGGGUCGUGGGUGAAAUCCCCCGGCUCAACCGGGGAAUUGCGCCUGAUACUGGCGGGCUCGAGAUCGGUAGGGGUGAGCGGAACUCCAGGUGGAGCGGUGAAAUGCGUAGAUAUCUGGAGGAACACCGGUGGCGAAGGCGGCAUUCUGGACCGACAUUGACGCUGAGGAGCGAAAGCCAGGGGAGCAACGGG
rnacentral:rRNA from 1 species